rnacentral:rRNA from 1 species
AUUGAACGCUGGCGGCAGGCCUAACACAUGCAAGUCGAACGAGUGGCGGACGGGUGAGUAAUGGCUGGGAAACUGCCUGAUGGAUGGGGAUAAAUACUGGAAACGGUAGCUAAUACCGCAUACCAUCGGAUGUGCCCAGAGGGGAUUAGCUCGUAGGUGGGGUAACGGGUCACCUAGGCGACGAACCCUAGCUGGUCUGAGAGGAUGACCAGCCACACUGGAACUGAGACACUGUCCAGCCUCCUACGGGAGGCAGCAGUGGGGAGUAUUGCACUAUGGGCGCAAGCCUGAGGCAGCCAUGCCGCGUGUGUGAAGAAGGCCUUCGGGUUGUAAAGCACUUUCAGCGGGGAGGCGUUACCCGCAGAAGAAGCACCGGCUAACUCCGUGCCAGCAGCCGCGGUAAUUC